CUCUUAUUAGCUCAAAGGUAGAGCAGAAUAUUUAUAAUAUUUAGAUUCAAGUUCAAAUCUUGGCUAAGAGU
rnacentral:tRNA from 1 species